rnacentral:rRNA from 1 species
ACCACACAUCCCCUUUCCUCACUCUCCGCAUACAGUGUCUGCGCGAGACGAGCGGCCGACGCACGCGCCGUCGCCUCGCCUCCUUCCAGAUCCGCGGCGAGCCGGGAACGAGGAAAACGGAAGGAUGGGAUCAAAAUUUAAUGCAUUGUGGAAAAAUGAGUUACUUGCCCUGGGCAAAGAUGAUAAAGAUAAAGCAAUCACAGUAAGAAAUGAUUAUCCGAAGCCCCCUAUCCCUUGUUUUGAAGUUACUGAGGGUUUUGAUUUGGAAAAGGUUGAGGAGCUUAUGCUAGAAAGGGAGAUUAAGAUCGCCAAGUCCAUGGCAAAUGACAUAAUCAUCCCAGACCCUGCUCCCAAGUUUGUGGGUGAUGCCUUCUUGGACAUAUAUGCCAAAUUGGAGCACAUCCUUGUAAAGGAUAGUGUCCGGUGCUUCCUCCGAUUUUUCGAGAACUGUGAAGGCCAGGGCAUGUCAUCUUAUCUUACCAUCACCGCACAAACCUUAACCUUCAUUGUCGGUUUCAAUGCCCUGCGAUGUGCAAAAGUCGUAUUGGAGGGCAUGGCACCUGAGCUCUAUGGGAUGCACGCCAAUCCCAACUGCAUAAACAAAUAUGGAUACUUCGUGCUCCAUGAAGCUGCUGAAAGGUUCUCUGUUGACAUGAUCAAGCUGCUUUUACGCCAUGGUGCAUCAGCCAAUGUGCGCACAGUUGGCAAUGAUGUCAUUGAGAAUCUACUCCCGCUCCAUGUCGCAGUUGAGAAUACUUGCCUGCAUAAGUAUCUGGAGGACAAUCUGGAGGACAAUCCUUCUCGCAGCCAGAAUCAUGAGGAUUAUGUCUACAAGCUUAUUCAUCUGCUGUGUCUACCUGAAAUGAAGAUCUUCUUGGACACAAUUAGACUGCUUGCAGAGAAAACAAAUAAUCUACUCGAAGAGCUCUGGAAUUAUAUUGAGGAUGGAAAAAUUAUCCAGUCUGCUGUUCUACUACUGGCUGCUCAAGAGCAGAUCCGUGGGGUUAGUUCUUCCAAGAUAAAUGGCAGUAGUAAGAAAAAUGGGUUUGAAAUCAUCGAGAAGUGUAUAACGAGGCAUUCAUAUGCCUUGAGAAACGAGAAAGGUUCACUUGGAAUGGCACAGGAGCUUCUGGAGGAAAGGAAGACGCUUAACGAUUGUGCAUGGCUGCUUGUUGAUGUAAUUUCCCAUGCCGGUGAAGAUCUUUCUGCAUACAUUCAAGCGCAUUCUGUGGUGUCCCAUGUGGAGGUCUUUCAACAUGUUUCAUCUAUUCUCAAGGAGUGUGGAUUUUGCCCUACUGGAGAUCUUAUGGACACUAUAAACCUCCAGCCUUAUGACUGCAGAAAGUCAAACGGAGAGUCAUGCAAAGGGCUUACAGAUGCAAACAUGGCAGUUAUGGAAUCAGCCAAGCUGAAUGCUGCAGAGAAGAAGGUCACAACUGUUGGAAAUGACGGCCUCUCCCUUAUGGCACAACAGCACACUACACAAACACAGGCUGUGAGAAAGAAAGUAGGCGGAGGAUGGGAUCCCAAGUAUACAAAGAGAAGCUUUUUCCCAUAUUGGAGAUCAGUGUUACAAGCUGGGGUUCCUUUGAAGGUGUAUCCAGCCCAUGCAAGCUCAGAUCCUAGGUCUCGUGUUAACCAUGGACAACUCCAUGUCUCUCUGAGUAACUCAAUAGCCAAUGGAUCUACAACAACUCCAAAUCAUAAACUUGGUCGAACCUCGCCACUUACAAGCAAUAAUCAACCCAGAAGGUGCUUUGUCACUGCUGCUACUGGUGCAUUCAGGCUCUUGAAGGUGCUAAAGUAGAGUAGAAAGGAGGCUCAACUGAUGCCUGACUGAGUUAAUUGCACAGAAGUACCACAAUUCGGGCAUCACAUGCAGAUUGGUACCAUGAUUGCUAAUUUUUGCGUGUCAGUACCAACAUUGGUCUAAGUUUUUGCAAAUUAGGCUAAAACGUGUAUUUGUACGUAUUGACGGUGUAUCUGACCGAUGGGGCCCGCCGGUCAGGUGCUGAUGUGGCAUGUUUUUUUUUAGAAAACCCCCUUAUGUUAUAUGUAAUCACAAAAAUGCCCAAAUUUUUUGCGGGAAAAAGGCUGCAGGAGAGGUUUUUUUUUUGUUCGCAAUUUCCACCAUCGAAUCUGGACUGGUUUGAAAUUUUCCGCCACUUGAACAAAUAAAUAAAAGGAAAGUAAAAUCAGGCUCGAUUUCCUUCUGUUCUGGUGAAUUGUGCAGGAGGCUCAACUGAUGCCUGACUGAGUUAAUUGCACAGAAGUACCA